rnacentral:rRNA from 1 species
GACGAACGCUGGCGGCGUGCCUAAUACAUGCAAGUCGAACGAGAGCGACCGGUGCUUGCACUGGUCAAUCUAGUGGCGAACGGGUGAGUAACACGUGGGUAACCUGCCCAUCAGAGGGGGAUAACAUUCGGAAACGGAUGCUAAAACCGCAUAGGUCUUCGAACCGCAUGGUUUGAAGAGGAAAAGAGGCGCAAGCUUCUGCUGAUGGAUGGACCCGCGGUGCAUUAGCUAGUUGGUGAGGUAACGGCUCACCAAGGCCGUGAUGCAUAGCCGACCUGAGAGGGUGAUCGGCCACAUUGGGACUGAGACACGGCCCAAACUCCUACGGGAGGCAGCAGUAGGGAAUCUUCCGCAAUGGACGCAAGUCUGACGGAGCAACGCCGCGUGAGUGAAGAAGGUUUUCGGAUCGUAAAACUCUGUUGUUAGAGAAGAACAAGUGCUAGAGUAACUGUUAGCGCCUUGACGGUAUCUAACCAGA